rnacentral:rRNA from 1 species
UCGCGCCACUUAGUGGAUGCCUAGGCUUAUGCCCGCACAGUCACGCGGCAAGCUGCGAUAAUCUCCGGGUAGCCGCAUGCAGGCUUUGAUCCGGAGGUCUGACUGAGUACUUUCCGGGCAACUGGGAAGUGCAACAACUCUCUGAAAUGAAGCGUCUUAGUAGGAGAUGGAAGAGAAAUCAAUUGAGAUCCGGUUAGUAACACGAGUGAAAGCCGGACAGACCGUUCCGAAUUCCGUUGCAGUAAUGUGACGGCAGAUGUGGUGGGGUUAGUACUAUCCUUUUUCAGACUCGAAGUCGGCUGGAAUGCCGUGCCAUAGCGGGUGAUAGCCCCGUAGGGUAAUGGGAAAGGAGGGAACCUAAUGAGUAGUGUCCUCUUGAUUGGGGGCAUGAAUAUGGGGGUAUCAACCUCCAAGUCUAAACAUGUGGCAUAAGACCGAUAGCGUAUUCAGUAGCGCGAGCAAAUGGUGAAAAGCACUGGGGAACCAGUGUGAAAAGACCUGAAACUAAGUGGCUACAACAUGGCGAGGCAGAUAAGGAUAGGAUCGUGGAAGUGAAUGCUGGCAACGGCAGGAACGACACGAUUUAACCGUUGUCUCGUCUUUCUUCUCGAAGCAAGAGCCAGGGAGUUUACAUGCGUGGCGAGGCGAAAGCCGAAGGGAAACCGAGAGUCCGCAGCACCGCAAGGUGUAAGGGACGUCGUGGUAACUCGCGAUCAGUCACUCAUGUAAGACCCGAAGCCGUUGUGAUCUACGCCCGAGCAGGAUGAAGUUGGCUUGACGGCCAAUGGAGGUCCGCAACUAUUGGUGGUAUAUUCCCUUUAGGUGACUUGGGUGUAGGGGUGAUAGUCCUGUCGAACACGGCAAUAGCGAGUUCUCUCCUAAAUGUGUCUCAGCACAGCGUCCAUUGAGGAUGAUGAAGAGGUAGAGCACUGAAUAGGCGGAGCGGUUCCGAAAGGGAUCACCGUCUUUUCAAACUCCGAAUGCUUCAUCUCAGUCGAAAUGGGCACUUGGGUUUGCGGGGUAAGCUUGUAGACCUAUUCGGGAUUGACCGUACGUUGGGUUAAGGGCCCUAAAUGCUGGUUAAGUGUGAACUGCAAAGGAGUCUCUAUUCAAAGACAGUCGGGAGGUAGGCUUAGAAGCAGCCAUCCUUUAAACAACGCGUAAUAGCGGACCGGCCGAGAGUGCAGAUUCUGAAGAUUCACGGGGCUAAACCAGCUUCCGAUACCCAACCCAGGCGAAAGCCUAUGGGGUAGGAGAGCGAACGGAUAGCGCAGAAGUAGGGUUGUGAAAUCCUAUGGAGCUUUCUGUUAUGAAUAUCCUGGUGUUAGUAACAGCAAUAUCUAGGUGAGAAUCCUGGACAUCUUAUAGAGCAAGGUUUCCUCGGCAACGUUUGUCAGCCGAGGGUUAGGCGAUCCUAAGUGGAGAAGUAAUUCUUUCUUCGCGAAAUCAGGGAAGCUGGUUAAUAUUCCAGCCCCACAGAGGUAGGUGCCGCAAGGCAAGCCAUCUUUCUGACGCGUUUGGAUAUAUGAAGCGGCUACGGCCGUCUGAUGGGUAUAACUCUCCGGAGUCUUAUUAUGAGGAGAAGGAGAUUAAGCCCCGAAGGGAAACUUCGUCGAAUCCAGGGGCCCAUGAAAAAGAAGAUGGAACGAUCCUUUGUGUCCGUACCAAGAACCAGUACAGGUGCUCUAGCUGAGAAGGCUAAGAUGUGGCAGGGGAACUCGGGUAAGGGAACUCGGCAAGUUAGCCCCGUAUCUUCGGUAUAAGGGGUGCCUGUGCUUGGAUAAAGCGCAGGUUGCAAUGACAAGGGGAGUCCGACUGUUUAUUAAAAACACAGGUGACUGCUAGUCCGCUAGGAUGAGUAUAGUCGCUGACUUCUGCUCACUG